GACGAACGCUGGCGGCGUGGAUUAGGCAUGCAAGUCGAACGGUAGGAUACCUUCGGGUAUCUGAGAGUGGCGAACGGGUGAGUAACACGUAGGUGAUCUACUCUCAAGAUUGGGACAACCCAGGGAAACUUGGGCUAAUACCGGAUGAAAGCAGCAGUGAUGUUGUUUGAAAGGUGGCGUAAGCUGCCGUUUGGGGAUGAGCCUGCGCUCUAUUAGUUAGUUGGCGGGGUAAAGGCCCACCAAGGCGAUGAUAGAUAGGCGGCCUUAACGGGUGGUCGCCCACACUGGGAUUGAGAUACGGCCCAGACUCCUACGGGAGGCAGCAGUCGAGAAUAGUCUACAAUGGCCGAAAGGCUGAUAGUGCGACGCCGCGUGAACGAAGAAGCCCUUCGGGGUGUAAAGUUCUUUUAUAUGUGAGCAGUGCUUUCUAUGUGAACAGCAUGGGGAGAGAGAUAUUAGCAUAUGAAUAAGCAACGGCUAACUCCGUG
rnacentral:rRNA from 1 species